AAGGUAACGGCUUACCAAGGCGAUGAUNGCAUAGCCGAGUUGAGAGACUGAUCGGCCACAUUGGGACUGAGACACGGCCCAAACUCCUACGGGAGGCAGCAGUAGGGAAUCUUCCACAAUGGACGCAAGUCUGAUGGAGCAACNCCGCGUGAGUGAAGAA
rnacentral:rRNA from 1 species